rnacentral:lncRNA from 1 species
GCGUUCUCUUUAUGUAUAUGCUGGAGACAUAAUUUCGAGCCUAUAUUUGACAUUUAAAUUUCCUUUGCAAAUAUCUAUAAAACAUAAGUAAGAUUUCCAUUCAGUGUCUGUUAGGCUCCACAGCAGCCAAAACGGUCCGUAAAUCUCAAAUAUAGACUUAGAACCAUCAUGUUCUUGUUUGAAAUCAAAAUAAUGAUAAAGAAUACCACACAUUCAUGCAUGUUGUGGUGCUCAGCAGAUUUACAUCACUCAUUGGUUUGCAUGUUUGUUUUGUUUUCAAAAAGGAAAAGGAAUUUGUUUCAGAAAGAAAGAUGAAUUGAAUAAAUUAUACGCG